CGUUGAAACACCGAUUCCCAUAUGAUCACCAAAGUUAAGCAACAUCGAGCCUAAUCAGUACCUAGAUGGGAGACUACUCGAGAAUACCAGGUGCUGUAA